GUCACCUGUGUGUUUCUUUCCUGCACAGCGAUGACACUGACAGCAGAGAACCUGCUGGUUAUUAGUGUAUGUGGUGCUGUGUGUGCUGUGGCCCUCACUGUAUUCAUCCUCUACAUUUUCAUCUGUUGCCGGAAAAUGUACAAAGUGGCAGCUGACAUUGAGUCUGCGGCUGCCCUUAAGAAAGAUCAAAUGGCAGCACCAUUACCCUCAACCCUACCACCUCCAUCCCCCUCAACAUCCCUCCCAACUUCUUCUCCAUCCCCACACCCAGCAUCCCCACUACCCACACCCCCAGCAUCCCCACUACCCACACCCCCAGAAUCCCCACUACCCUUACCCACAGUAUACCCCACCCAACCCGAAUACGCUUAUCUCACCUGCCCCCCUUGUUCCUACCCCUUAUGCCUUUAUGCCGUUCCGCCCCAUCACUAUAUGCAUAGACCCCCCCUCAUUAUGUCCACCAGACCAUCUGGACAGGGGCUGGGAGAUGCUGCCAUUUCGGCAAGUCACAAACAUCAGACUUAGGCGUAAGGGUUCAACCCUCCCCCUUCCCCUUCCCACCCCAUCACCACCACCUUGUGUGUCAUGUCUGUCUCCUUCCCAUAGAUGUUGAUCAACAUCAACAGCUACAAGCUGUCUCCAAACCCCUCACCAUUACUAACACUACCGCUACCUGUUCCAACACCACAAGAGAGAAUAACAGCUAGCAUAAAGAGAAUGGCGACAGGCCAGAAGAGUAAAUGCCAGCUGUCAAGAGUUACUGGCAAAUUAAGUUCUGCACAAAGUGGCCUCGAUGUUCCUUGUGGUACAAGUGAGAUGGAGAAAAACAACCACGUGCCUCCCCUCCUGCAGCCCCUGGUAAUGGCUCUACCCACAACUGUAUUUAUUGAAUGGACGAUGGCAAUACAAACACUGAUCAUAUAUACAAUAAUUGCCAGAGACAGAUGAUAAUACAAUCAUUACACAGUGCAGAAAGCAGAGAAGAAAACGAGGAGUAUAUGGAGACAGAGGAAUACAGC